rnacentral:lncRNA from 1 species
AAGAAAGUCUGGUCUCGAGUCGGAGAUGGCCAUAGCUAGGCUCCUACAGCUCCAAUACGCCAGAGCAAAGCCGGAGAGGCCAUAGAACCACGGAUAUGUAGAGGAUCUGAACGGACGCCAUCGAAUCAGACCUUGAAAUCUCAAACACCCAUGUCUUAGGGAUGAAGGAAGGUGAGUACAAGCUGUCCAUGGCUUGGGAAGCCAUGGAUUCAGGUGAGAUUGAGAUCAAAGAAGAGUUGAGAAGGGCUAGGGUUACAAGAUCCUUCGAGAGAGUUUGAGAGAGAGAAAGACAGGUAUCAGAGGCGGCUGUCUAAGCAAAAUGAGGAUUAGGG